rnacentral:tRNA from 1 species
GGGGUUGUGGCUCAGUGGUAGAGUGCUUGCCUAGCACACAUGAGGUCCUGGGUUCGAUCCUCAGCACCA